rnacentral:rRNA from 1 species
ACGGGAAUUACUUUAUUGAAACUUCGGUCGAUUUAAUUUAAUUCUAGUGGCGGACGGGUGAGUAACGCGUGGGUAACCUGCCUUAUACAGGGGGAUAACAGUCAGAAAUGGCUGCUAAUACCGCAUAAGCGCACAGAGCUGCAUGGCUCGGUGUGAAAAACUCCGGUGGUAUAAGAUGGACCCGCGUUGGAUUAGCUUGUUGGUGGGGUAACGGCCCACCAAGGCGACGAUCCAUAGCCGGCCUGAGAGGGUGAACGGCCACAUUGGGACUGAGACACGGCCCAGACUCCUACGGGAGGCAGCAGUGGGGAAUAUUGCACAAUGGGGGAAACCCUGAUGCAGCGACGCCGCGUGAAGGAAGAAGUAUCUCGGUAUGCAAACUUCUAUCAGCAGGGAAGAUAGUGACGGUACCUGACUAAGAAGCCCCGGCUAACUACGUGCCAGCAGCCGCGGUAAUACGUAGGGGGCAAGCGUUAUCCGGAUUUACUGGGUGUAAAGGGAGCGUAGACGGUGUGGCAAGUCUGAUGUGAAAGGCAUGGGCUCAACCUGUGGACUGCAUUGGAAACUGUCAUGCUUGAGUGCCGGAGGGGUAAGCGGAAUUCCUAGUGUAGCGGUGAAAUGCGUAGAUAUUAGGAGGAACACCAGUGGCG